AGAGUUUGAUCCUGGCUCAGAUUGACCUUUGGCGGCAGGCCUAACACAUGCAAGUCGAACGGUAACAGGAAGCAGCUUGCUGCUUCGCUGACGAGUGGCGGACGGGUGAGUAAUGUCUGGGAAACUGCCUGAUGGAGGGGGAUAACUACUGGAAACGGUAGCUAAUACCGCAUAACGUCGCAAGACCAAAGAGGGGGACCUUCGGGCCUCUUGCCAUCGGAUGUGCCCAGAUGGGAUUAGCUAGUAGGUGGGGUAACGGCUCACCUAGGCGACGAUCCCUAGCUGGUCUGAGAGGAUGACCAGCCACACUGGAACUGAGACACGGUCCAGACUCCUACGGGAGGCAGCAGUGGGGAAUAUUGCACAAUGGGCGCAAGCCUGAUGCAGCCAUGCCGCGUGUGUGAAGAAGGCCUUCGGGUUGUAAAGCACUUUCAGCGGGGAGGAAGGCGUUAAGGUUAAUAACCUUGGCGAUUGACGUUACCCGCAGAAGAAGCACCGGCUAACUCCGUGCCAGCAGCCGCGGUAAUACGUAGGGUGCAAGCGUUAUCCGGAAUUAUUGGGCGUAAAGGGCUCGUAGGCGGUAUCAGUCAGUCUGUCUUAAAAGUUCGGGGCUUAACCCCGUGAUGGGAUGGAAACUGCCAAUCUAGAGUAUCGGAGAGGAAAGUGGAAUUCCUAGUGUAGCGGUGAAAUGCGUAGAUAUUAGGAAGAACACCAGUGGCGAAGGCGACUUUCUGGACGAAAACUGACGCUGAGGCGCGAAAGCGUGGGGAGCGAACAGGAUUAGAUACCCUGGUAGUCCACGCCGUAAACGAUGUCGAUUUGGAGGUUGUGCCCUUGAGGCGUGGCUUCCGGAGCUAACGCGUUAAGUCGACCGCCUGGGGAGUACGGCCGCAAGGCUAAAACUCAAAGAAAUUGACGGGGGCCCGCACAAGCGGCGGAGCAUGCGGAUUAAUUCGAUGCAACGCGAAGAACCUUACCUGGUCUUGACAUCCACAGAACUUUCCAGAGAUGGAUUGGUGCCUUCGGGAACUGUGAGACAGGUGCUGCAUGGCUGUCGUCAGCUCGUGCUGGGAAAUGUUGGGUUAAGUCCCGCAACGAGCGCAACCCUUAUCCUUUGUUGCCAGCGGUCCGGCCGGGAACUCAAAGGAGACUGCCAGUGAUAAACUGGAGGAAGGUGGGGAUGACGUCAAGUCAUCAUGGCCCUUACGACCAGGGCUACACACGUGCUACAAUGGCGCAUACAAAGAGAAGCGACCUCGCGAGAGCAAGCGGACCUCAUAAAGUGCGUCGUAGUCCGGAUUGGAGUCUGCAACUCGACUCCAUGAAGUCGGAAUCGCUAGUAAUCGUGGAUCAGAAUGCCACGGUGAAUACGUUCCCGGGCCUUGCACACACCGCCCGUCA
rnacentral:rRNA from 1 species